rnacentral:rRNA from 1 species
CAACUCUUGACAUCCCAUUGACCGCUUGAGAGAUCAAGUUUUCCUUUCGGGGACAAUGGUGACAGGUGGUGCAUGGUUGUCUUCAGCUCGUGUCGUGAGAUGUUGGGUUAAGUCCCGCAACGAGCGCAACCCCUAUCCUUAGUUGCCAGCAUUCAGUUGGGCACUCUAGGGAGACUGCCGGUGACAAACCGGAGGAAGGUGGGGAUGACGUCAAAUCAUCAUGCCCCUUAUGAGUUGGGCUACACACGUGCUACAAUGGACGGUACAAAGGGCAGCGAGACCGCGAGGUGGAGCCAAUCCCAUAAAGCCGUUCCCAGUUCGGAUUGCAGGCUGCAACUCGCCUGCAUGAAGUCGGAAUCGCUAGUAAUCGCAGGUCAGCAUACUGCGGUGAAUACGUUCCCGGGUCUUGUACACACCGCCCGUCACACCACGAGAGUUUGCAACACCCGAAGCCGGUGAGUAACCGACAAGGAGCCAGCCGUCGAAGU